GUCUACGGCCAUACCACCCUGAACACGCCCAAUCUCGUCUGAUCUCGGAAGCUAAGCAGGGUCGGGCCUGGUUAGUACUUGGAUGGGAGAUAAUAUUCAUGGGCUAUAUUUG
ensembl:rRNA 5S_rRNA 5S ribosomal RNA